ACGAACGCUGGCGGCACGCUUAACACAUGCAAGUCGAACGAGAGAAGAGGAGCUUGCUUUUCUGAUCUAGUGGCGGACGGGUGAGUAACACGUGAGCAAUCUGCCUUUCAGAGGGGGAUACCGAUUGGAAACGAUCGUUAAUACCGCAUAACAUAAUUGAACCGCAUGAUUUGAUUAUCAAAGAUUUAUCGCUGAAAGAUGAGCUCGCGUCUGAUUAGCUAGUUGGUAAGGUAACGGCUUACCAAGGCGACGAUCAGUAGCCGGACUGAGAGGUUGAUCGGCCACAUUGGGACUGAGACACGGCCCAGACUCCUACGGGAGGCAGCAGUGGGGAAUAUUGCACAAUGGAGGAAACUCUGAUGCAGCGAUGCCGCGUGAGGGAAGAAGGUUUUAGGAUUGUAAACCUCUGUCUUCAGGGACGAAAAAAGACGGUACCUGAGGAGGAAGCUCCGGCUAACUACGUGCCAGCAGCCGCGGUAAUACGUAGGGAGCGAGCGUUGUCCGGAAUUACUGGGUGUAAAGGGAGCGUAGGCGGGAUCGCAAGUCAGAUGUGAAAACUAUGGGCUUAACCCAUAAACUGCAUUUGAAACUGUGGUUCUUGAGUGAAGUAGAGGUAAGCGGAAUUCCUAGUGUAGCGGUGAAAUGCGUAGAUAUUAGGAGGAACAUCAGUGGCGAAGGCGGCUUACUGGGCUUUAACUGACGCUGAGGCUCGAAAGCGUGGGGAGCAAACAGGAUUAGAUACCCUGGUAGUCCACGCCGUAAACGAUGAUUACUAGGUGUGGGGGGACUGACCCCUUCCGUGCCGCAGCAAACGCAAUAAGUAAUCCACCUGGGGAGUACGACCGCAAGGUUGAAACUCAAAGGAAUUGACGGGGGCCCGCACAAGCAGUGGAGUAUGUGGAUUAAUUCGAAGCAACGCGAAGAACCUUACCAGGUCUUGACAUCGUAUGCAUAGCUCAGAGAUGAGUGAAAUCUCUUCGGAGACAUAUAGACAGGUGGUGCAUGGUUGUCGUCAGCUCGUGUCGUGAGAUGUUGGGUUAAGUCCCGCAACGAGCGCAACCCUUACUGUUAGUUGCUACGCAAGAGCACUCUAGCAGGACUGCCGUUGACAAAACGGAGGAAGGUGGGGAUGACGUCAAAUCAUCAUGCCCCUUAUGACCUGGGCCUCACACGUACUACAAUGGCUGUCAACAGAGGGAAGCAAAGCCGCGAGGUGGAGCAAACCCCUAAAAGCAGUCUUAGUUCGGAUUGUAGGCUGCAACCCGCCUACAUGAAGUCGGAAUUGCUAGUAAUCGCAGAUCAGUAUGCUGCGGUGAAUACGUUCCCGGGCCUUGUACACACCGCCCGUCACGCCAUGGGAGUCGGUAACACCCGAAGCCUGUAGUCUAACCGCAAGGAGGACGCAGUCGAAGGUGGGAUUGAUGACUGGGGUG
rnacentral:rRNA from 1 species